UACAGAGGGUGCGAGCGUUAAUCGGAAUUACUGGGCGUAAAGCGCACGUAGGCGGCUUGGUAUGUCGGGUGUGAAAUCCCCGGGCUCAACCUGGGAACUGCAUCCGAAACUGCCUUGCUGGAGUAUGGGAGAGGGAAGUAGAAUUUCCGGUGUAGCGGUGAAAUGCGUAGAUAUCGGAAGGAACAUCAGUGGCGAAGGCGACUUCCUGGACCAAUACUGACGCUCAGGUGCGAAAGCGUGGGGAGCAAACAGG
rnacentral:rRNA from 1 species